CUUUCAGGAUGUAGUACAAGACAGGGUGCUGCAGGUGGUAUGACGUGAAUCAAAAAUGAACACAGUGAUGCAUACUAUAGUUUUCUCUCCAUCUAUUAUGUAUUUUCAGCAGAAGCACCCCAAGUGUAUUACUAGAUGUUUUCAAUUGACAUACGAAAAACUGUAUUUACAUGUGUAUAAAUAUAGAAAUGUCACGGUUCUGGGUCAGUUUGACCCAGUAUUUUGAGUUGUUAUGUUUUGGUUUAUUUUUGCAUUAUGGAUUAUUUUCUGAUGUUCUGGUGCUUUGUUUAUUAUUAUUAUUAUUAUUAUCAUUAUAGAUCUGUUUCAGUUAUUCUUGGUGAGGGAUCAGUUCUUAGGUUUUGGGUUCUCAUGUGUAUUGCAGUUUCUGUUCAGUGUCUAGUCUGUCUCUCAGUGUCGUGUCUGCCUCUUUGUUUAGUGGGUUCUUGUUUCCCGUUUUAUUGUGAAGGUCUGUGGCUCAUGUGAGUGUGUUCAAUUCUACUGCGCCCCUGUCUCGUUAGUCCAAUUUCUCCCAGCUAUGUCUCCCUCCUGUUUCUCAUUCCCCAAUUACCUCCCUGUGUAUAUAAGCCCUGUGUGUUCCCAUGCUCUCUGUCGUGUCAUACCCUCAGAUUAUACCUGUGUGUUUUUGGUUUCAGUAUUCACUUCAUGUUUUGUUUACAUGCCAGCAAUAAAGCUGAGGUUUUGAGUUACAAUUCUGUGUUCGAGUCCUGCAUUUGGAUCCUCAUCUCCACCUGCCUGCAGACAGAGCCCUGACAAGAAAUGUAUACAUACUGUGCCAGCAUGCUGAGGUUUUACCAUAUUACUCAAAAAUUACAGUUCAUUGGGAGCUGCUGCUCAGAAUCUCAUUGAAUCAGCAGGAUUAUAAGCCCAAACACAGCUCAAAGCUCUGAUGAAGAGAAGAAGUUUCCAAAUGAGCCACUGUGUUCAUCUGGUUUGAAUUCCAGGAGCUCUUAGGACAUAAGACACCUUUGUUCUUGCAGCUAUUUGUCAGGCUGUUGAGAGCUGCAGGCAGUAACUGAAUUAUCUAUUGUAGCAUUGUCUAGUGACACAUUUGUCCAAAAAACAAUCCAGAAACAUCAAUGCACUGUAUUCACAAUUCCAUCAUGCAGGUGCUGUAAAAGACCUCACUAUGACCAGGAAUUUGGACCAUGUCAAUCUCUCACAUCUUUACACUGGUUUUCAUUGUAUCAGAAAAUCCCUGGCUUUAUUAACUUCAUCUUAAGUAACUCAUCUGAUCAUCUACUAAUUACUAACCAUAACCUGAACCCUAUGUUGUUCUUCUUUGUUCUCUUUUGGAGUUAUUGACAGCUGGUCAUCUGCCUCCAUUUCACCUGCUUGCUUUCUUUUCUGUCACACCAACCCUAACCCAGUUCUUGACCGAUCCUCUAUGGAAAUUUCAUUCAUAAUGAUCUGCACGUUCGAUUUGACAAAGAUUUGACACCACAUGCCCUUACUGACACAACUCUUCCUGGACUCCCAGUGCUGCAGCACUGGGAGUACAUUGACCUGGUCCAAGGCAAAUUUUUGUUGGGGCUUCAUGUUGUCCUUGGGUCAUCCUACUCUCACUAAAAAUGAAUUUAAAUUAUGUCAUAAUUGAAUAUACAUUGUUUUAAUUGAAUGAAAAUGCAUUAGAUAUGACUAAAUUUAUUCAUUUUUGCUUCCCUUUAAAAUUGCAACAGAUGCUGACCUGAAGUUUAGAAAAAUACUCGCUGAGAAAUGGAUUAUCGUCAUCCCACUGGUGAAGGAGAUGUGGUUAAAAAUAGACGGGGAACAGAAGACAUGGUGGGAUGAUGCAAAAGGCUAUAAAUAGAGAUGUGAGCUGAUCUGUGGCUAUGAGUUUUAGAAUCAUAAUCUGUUAUUUUUGGAAGAUUGGGUGACUUGACGGCAGAUUAUCAAACAGAAGGCUGUCAGAUUAGAGGAGACACAUUGUGCAACACUAUGAUACACCUCCAGCUCAUACACAAGCUGGAUGGGGAAAAAAAUGCCUCAAAAGCACAUCAAUACACAGUGUGACUCAGUGAACUGAAAUAGAUUGUACGUAUUACCCAAAAUUGUCAGACAAAUUAGCAGAUUAGGCAAAGACUGUCUAACUGUUGUCAGGCAAGGUGUAAUCCUGACAGUACUUUCCUUUGAUUGUAGGGUCUACCUUACAAUAUAAAGCGCUUUGAGGCAACUGU